UACGAAGGGGGCUAGCGUUGCUCGGUAUUACUGGGCGUAAAGGGCGCGUAGGCGGACAGUUAAGUCAGAGGUGAAAGCCCAGGGCUCAACCCUGGAAUAGCCUUUGAUACUGGCUGUCUUGAGUGCGGGAGAGGUGUGUGGAACUCCGAGUGUAGAGGUGAAAUUCGUAGAUAUUCGGAAGAACACCAGUGGCGAAGGCGACACACUGGCCCGUAACUGACGCUGAGGCGCGAAAGCGUGGGGAGCAAACAGG
rnacentral:rRNA from 1 species